rnacentral:rRNA from 1 species
UGGGGAAUAUUGCACAAUGGGGGAAACCCUGAUGCAGCGACGCCGCGUGAAGGAAGAAGUAUUUCGGUAUGUAAACUUCUAUCAGCAGGGAAGAAGAUGACGGUACCUGAGUAAGAAGCACCGGCUAAAUACGUGCCAGCAGCCGCCGUAAUACGUAUGGUGCAAGCGUUAUCCGGAUUUACUGGGUGUAAAGGGAGCGUAGACGGAUAGGCAAGUCUGGAGUGAAAACCCAGGGCUCAACUCUGGGACUGCUUUGGAAACUGCAGAUCUGGAGUGCCGGAGAGGUAAGCGGAAUUCCUAGUGUAGCGGUGAAAUGCGUAGAUAGUAGGAGGAACACCAGUGGCGAAGGCGGCUUACUGGACGGUGACUGACGUUGAGGCUCGAAAGCGUGGGGAGCAAACAGG